UACGUAGGGUGCAAGCGUUGUCCGGAAUUAUUGGGCGUAAAGAGCUCGUAGGCGGUCUGUCGCGUCUGCUGUGAAAACUCAGGGCUUAACCCUGAGCUUGCAGUGGGUACGGGCAGACUAGAGUGCGGUAGGGGAGACUGGAAUUCCUGGUGUAGCGGUGAAAUGCGCAGAUAUCAGGAGGAACACCGGUGGCGAAGGCGGGUCUCUGGGCCGUAACUGACGCUGGAGGAGCGAAAGCAUCGGGAGCGAACAGG
rnacentral:rRNA from 1 species